rnacentral:rRNA from 1 species
CGGAGGGUGCAAGCGUUGUUCGGAUUUAUUGGGCGUAAAGCGCGUGUAGGCGGUUUGUUAAGUCUGAUGUGAAAGCCCUGGGCUCAACCCAGGAAGUGCAUUGGAUACUGGCAGACUUGAAUACGGGAGAGGGUAGUGGAAUUCCUGGUGUAGGAGUGAAAUCCGUAGAUAUCAGGAGGAACACCGGUGGCGAAGGCGGCUACCUGGACCGAUAUUGACGCUGAGACGCGAAAGCGUGGGUAGCAAACAGGAUUAGAUACCCUGGUAGUCCACGCCGUAAACGAUGAGUACUAGGUGUUGCGGGUAUUGACCCCUGCAGUGCCGCAGCUAACGCAUUAAGUACUCCGCCUGGGAAGUACGGUCGCAAGACUA